UCCGAAUUGGUGUAGUGGCUAACAUUUGACGCUCUCAUUCCCACCUAUCAGGUGAUAGAAAGUUACCGUCAAGCCCGGGGUUCGAUUCCCCGAUUCGGAG